AGAUACCCAUGUUGCAGUCGGCGGAGCCUGUGAAUGUCCCUUCCACGGACCCUGCAGGUGGGCUCAGCGAAGGGCCUGAAGAUGGGAGCUGACUGUCCUGGGGGGUCCACUGGAAUCGCAGAGAAAAGCAUUAUUUCAAGUAAAAUGUAUAAUUUUAAGCAUUAAAUGCUGAUGCCAAAAAAAAAAAAAAGACAAAGACUGGAGAUUGGUAAACUAAGCAUCCAAAGGGUGACAUUUGAAAGAAUCACAGAAUCACAGAAUAUAUACUAAGUAACAACUGUGGGAUAUGCCAUGACAGCAUUUUUAACCAGUUUGACAAUCUGCUUCAUGAUUGGCAUGUUUAGACAUUUUCAUUUAAUCACUUAGAGGGUU
rnacentral:lncRNA from 1 species